rnacentral:rRNA from 1 species
AUACGGAGGGUGCGAGCGUUAAUCGGAAUUACUGGGCGUAAAGCGCACGUAGGCGGUUUGUUAAGUCGGAUGUGAAAUCCCCGGGCUCAACCUGGGACCUGCAUCCGAUACUGGCGGGCUAGAGUCUGGUAGAGGGGGGUAGAAUUCCUGGUGUAGCGGUGAAAUGCGUAGAUAUCAGGAGGAAUACCAGUGGCGAAGGCGGCCCCCUGGACUGAGACUGACGCUGAGGUGCGAAAGCGUGGGGAGCAAACAGGAUUAGAAACCCCAGUAGUCC